ACUUUUACUUUGCAUCUUAAAUUAGUAUUGAUAAAUACAUAUACAUAUAUCAGUACUUUUUAUACUACAAUAUUUACAAUUGUUUAGGAAAAAGAGAACUUUUUGAAAAACAUCCAGACUCAAUUCCUUCAAUCUUUGAUACUGAAAAACUAAGUUCCCCUCAAAGAAAAAUUAAUAAUAAUAGAAUUAAUAGAGUCAAUAGAAGAAUAAGUAGACAAAAUUUGGUUGUUCCUGUAUGUAAGAAACUAAAACUUUUUGAUAAAUCUAACAGAGAAAAAGUUGAUUUUGUAAUUGAAAAAAAGAGCUUAUGUAGUAAAGAAAUCAAUGAUUCUGCAUAUACAGAGAGUAUUUUAGAACAAUGUUCUAGCAAGAGUUUUGAGAAACAAGAAUUUUAUCCUUCUGAAUCAAAUAAGGAGCAAUUAGAACAAUGUUCCAGCAUAAGUUUAAGUAAUUCUACAUGUAACGAAGAUCUUUUAAAACAAAGCUCAAGCAAAAGUUUUAGCGAAGAGUUUUGGUUUUCUACACCUAAUGAAGGUAAUUUAGAACAAUGCUCAAGUGAUAUUUUUA